GAUGAAGAACGUAGCGAAAUGUGAUAAGUAGUGUGAAUUGCAGAAUUCCGUGAAUCAUCGAAUCUUUGAACGCACAUUGCGCCUCCUGGUAGUCCGGGAGGCAUGCCUGUUCGAGCGUCACCAAAUCCAACUCAAGCGGUUUUGCGCUUGGUCGUGGCGGAAGAGUCGGUCUGGUUGCCGUCUCCCCUCCGAAAAUCAACGGCGGAAAGUCACUGGCAGUCAGCGUAGUAGUAUCGUUCGCCGAACAUCCAGUGGCAUUCCUGCCGACGUACCCCCACAAUUCUCGUGAUUGACCUCGGAUCAGGUAGGGAUACCCGCUGAACUUAAGCAUAUCAAUAAGCGGAGGA
rnacentral:misc_RNA from 1 species